GAGACGAGACUGAAGCCGGGGGACAAAAAGGAUGCGCUUAGCAUCAGCUAUGGUGAAGAAGAUGAAAAUGAAGGUGAGUAAACAGAUCACUGCUCUCAUCAUCUUCCAAAUAAACAACGAAUUUUCUA